rnacentral:rRNA from 1 species
GAUACGCCUACAGAAGGCAAUGCCGAUGUCAACAUGGAUGAUACCAAUGUGAGUGAUCAUGAGCCCAUAUUUAAUUCAUCUGCGGCAGAAUCUACUAGUGUUGAUGAGGAACCAGUUAGUGUGGAUAUUUAUGAUCCAAGCAAUUGGGGUAAUCUUGAUAACAAAGCGAGGGACAUAUUAGUGGAAAAGGGGCCUAAAAGGGAAGAAGAAAACACUAAAUAUCCUUUGGAUGAAAAUUUAAGACAUUUUUCAUAUAGCCAUUACUCAAGAAAGAUGAGCACUGGAGAGGUGCGUGAUAGAAAAUGGUUAGUGUUUUCAAAACAUACAAAGAAAGUGUUCUGUUUUUGCUGUAAGCUUUUCAAUUCUGAUAAAUGCAAGAGUGCAAUGGGGAAUGAUGGGUUUUAUGAUUGGAGGCAUAUUAAUGAGAGACUGAAAGAGCACGAAGCUAGUGUCGACCAUAUUACCAACAUGAACUCAUGGAAUGAAUUGAGAGUUAGACUGAGCAAGCAUGAAACAAUUGACAAAGAUUUACAGCAACAAAUCACAAAGGAGAAAGAACACAUAAGGCAAGUUUUGUUAAGAAUUGUUGCCAUUGUGAAAUUUCUUGGUAAGCGCAAUUUGGCUUUUAGAGGAUCCAGUGAGCAACUUUAUGAUGAUUGUAAUGGAAAUUUUUUAGCUUGUGUGGAGAUGGUUGCAGAGUUUGAUUUGAUUGUCAAAGUGGCCAAAUAUUUCUCUGUUAUCCUAGAUUGUACCCCGGAUGUGAGUCACCAAGAACAAAUGAGUUUGUUGGUUCGAUGUGUUCAUAUGGGCCAAGGUUAUGACAAUGGAUCCAACAUGAAAGGAAAAUACAAGGGGGUGCAAAGUCAGUUGCUUGAGGUAAAUCCAAGAGCUUUGUAUAUGCCAUGUGCUUGCCACAGUCUUAAUCUUACCCUUUGUGAUAUGGCUAAAUCUUGUGGUAGAGCUGUUUCUUUUUUUGGAAUUGUGCAACGAAUAUAUGCAUUAUUCAGUGGUUCUACGAAAAGAUGGAAAGUUUUUGUUAGCCAUAGUCGUAUCAAAAGUGUUAAAGCAAUUAGAUUUCAAGCUCCUAACAUAAGAUCAGCUUUACUUGAGUUAAGUGAAGAUAGUGGUACCGAACCCAAGGAUAGGAGUGAUGCAAAAAAAUUGUUUGAUGUGCUUGGCAGCUAUGAGUUCAUACUUGGCAUGUCACCAUCCAUGUGCAUUGAGACUGCCUUAAAGCAAAUAGAUGGUAUGAGGACUUAUUUUGACACUUAUAGAGAGGAAGGGUUUGAUUCUAGUGUGAUCAUUGCCAAAGAAAUCGCAGCUGAAAUGGGUGUAGAGCCAUCAUUUCCAGUAAAGCGUCGUGUUUCUAGGAAGAAACAAUUUGAUGAAGAUGACAAUGAUGAAGCGAUAUUGGAAGCUGAGAAGGAUUUUAAAGUCAAUUAUUUUUUGAUUAUGGUUGAUAAGGCGGCCACUUCACUGAAAAUUAGAUUUGACGAACUUGAGUCAUUCAAAAAUAUAUUUGGAUUUUUAAUGAGUUCAACGGCCUUGAAGUCAUUGGACCGUUCUGAACUUAAAGACAGUUGUACAAAAUUUGCAAGUGCUUUCUCUUCGGGUGGUUCAUCUGACGUUGAUUUAAAUGAUCUGAUUUCUGAGUUAAUUGUUAUGCAGUCAACUUUGCCCGAUAGAACAAUGUCCGCUAUGGAGAUUUUUGAGUUUGCAAGGGAAGCUGAUUGUUAUCCAAAUAUUGCUAUUGCAUAUCAGAUUCUCUUUACUAUGCCUGUUACUGUGGCAUCAGCUGAAAGAAGUUUUUCGAAGUUGAAAUUGUUGAAGAAGUACUUGAGAUCUACAAUGUCGCAAGAGAGGUUAAAUGGCUUGGCAACUUUAUGCAUCGAGAAAAUUUUGGUUGAUGAAAUUGACAUUGAUACUAUCGUUAGUGAUUUUGCAUCUCAGAAUGUUAGAAGAAAAUUUUGA